UACGUAGGUGGCAAGCGUUGUCCGGAUUUACUGGGCGUAAAGGGCGCGUAGGCGGCCACUGCAAGUCGGUUGUGAAAUCUCCGGGCUUAACCCGGAAAGGUCAACCGAUACUGCAGGGCUAGAGUGCAGAAGGGGCAACUGGAAUUCUCGGUGUAGCGGUGAAAUGCGUAGAUAUCGAGAGGAACACCUGCGGCGAAGGCGGGUUGCUGGGCUGACACUGACGCUGAUGCGCGAAAGCUAGGGGAGCGAACGGG
rnacentral:rRNA from 1 species